CUGCAUUUGUUUAUAAACAAACCACACGGUAUUAACGUGUAAAACAAAUAGAAUUCUGUUGCUUGACUUGCCAGAGUCACUUGUUUGAUAUGUGAUAUCGAAAUGUAUUCGUGUUGAAUUUCGUUUGUUAUAACAAAAAUGCUGAACCACACCAACCAGCAUUAACGAACUGAGGCCGAAGAGUUUGUUCUAGGACAGAUCACCAAGAAAUUCAAAGGAUUGCUGCCGGAAAACGUGAUUGGUUCGGUGCUGAUGCCUACCAAUAACAGGAAGCCGCCAUGAAGUACGUACGUCGCAAAGGAUAUUCCGAGGAACCGAUACUGAGGAUUCGUCGUUGUUUUUAUGAAAAACAAAUGCAGCAGCAGCAGGAGGAGAACAUGCAAUAAAUAAGAAAAUGCACCAAGUUAGUAUGUUCCGAUUAGAUUCAACACCAACGAGGAGCCACAGCAGGUCAGCCAGUUUUCCCAGAGCAAGAAAUUCAAUUUUGAAAUAUUGAUAUAAGUAUAUAUUCAAAUAAAAUAUUC